CCUACGGGCGGCAGCAGUGAGGAAUAUUGGUCAAUGGACGAGAGUCUGAACCAGCCAAGUAGCGUGAAGGAUGACUGCCCUAUGGGUUGUAAACUUCUUUUAUAUGGGAAUAAAAUGUUCCACGUGUGGGAUUUUGUAUGUACCAUAUGAAUAAGGAUCGGCGAACUCCGUGCCAGCAGCCGCGGUAAUACGGAGGAUCCGAGCGUUAUCCGGAUUUAUUGGGUUUAAAGGGAGCGUAGGUGGAUUGUUAAGUCAGUUGUGAAAGUUUGCGGCUCAACCGUAAAAUUGCAGUUGAAACUGGCAGUCUUGAGUACAGUAGAGGUGAGCGGAAUUCGUGGUGUAGCGGUGAAAUGCUUAGAUAUCACGAAGAACUCCGAUUGCGAAGGCAGUUCACUGGACUGCAACUGACACUGAGGCUCGAAAGUGUGGGUAUCAAACAGGAUUAGAUACCCGGGUAGUC
rnacentral:rRNA from 1 species